rnacentral:rRNA from 1 species
GACGUAGGGGGCCAGCGUUGUUCGGAAUUACUGGGUGUAAAGGGUUCGUAGGCGGUGCGGCAAGUUGGGAGUGAAAUCUCUGGGCUUAACCCAGAGGCUGCUUCCAAAACUGCUGUGCUUGAGUGUGGGAGAGGCGCGUGGAAUUGCAGGUGUAGCGGUGAAAUGCGUAGAUAUCAAGAGGAACACCUGAGGUGAAGACGGGUUGCUGGGCCGACACUGACGCUGAGUGCGCGAAAGCCAGGGGAGCAAACGGG